rnacentral:rRNA from 1 species
GACGAACGCUGGCGGCGUGCCUAAUACAUGCAAGUAGAACGCAGUAGCGAACGGGUGAGUAACGCGGAGGUAACCAGCCUCAUAGCGGGGGAUAACGAUUGGAAAUGAUAGAUCAUAACGCAUACUGUGAGAUGGACUUGCGUUGCAUUAGCUAGUUGGUGAGGUGAAGGCUCACCAAGGCGACGAUACAUAGCCGACCUGAGAGGGUGAUCAGCCACACUGGGACUGAGACACGGCCCAGACUCCUACGGGAGGCAGCAGUAGGGAUUCUUCGGCAAUGUACGCAAAUCUGUCCGAGCAACGCCGCGUGAGUGAAGAUGGUUUUCGGCUCGUCACGCUCUGUUGUUAGAGACGCGGUGACUAACCAGAAACGGACGGCUAACUACGUGCCAGCAGCCGCGGUAAUAC